UACGAAGGGGCUAGCGUUGCUCGGAAUCACUGGGCGUAAAGGGUGCGUAGGCGGGUCUUUUAAGUCAGGGGUGAAAUCCUGGAGCUCAACUCCAGAACUGCCUUUGAUACUGAAGAUCUUGAGUUCGGGAGAGGUGAGUGGAACUGCGAGUGUAGAGGUGAAAUUCGUAGAUAUUCGCAAGAACACCAGUGGCGAAGGCGGCUCACUGGCCCGAUACUGACGCUGAGGCACGAAAGCGUGGGUAGCAAACAGGG
rnacentral:rRNA from 1 species